rnacentral:rRNA from 1 species
CUAAUACAUGCAAGUCGAGCGGACAGAUGGGAGCUUGCUCCCUGAUGUUAGCGGCGGACGGGUGAGUAACACGUGGGUAACCUGCCUGUAAGACUGGGAUAACUCCGGGAAACCGGGGCUAAUACCGGAUGGUUGUUUGAACCGCAUGGUUCAAACAUAAAAGGUGGCUUCGGCUACCACUUACAGAUGGACCCGCGGCGCAUUAGCUAGUUGGUGAGGUAACGGCUCACCAAGGCAACGAUGCGUAGCCGACCUGAGAGGGUGAUCGGCCACACUGGGACUGAGACACGGCCCAGACUCCUACGGGAGGCAGCAGUAGGGAAUCUUCCGCAAUGGACGAAAGUCUGACGGAGCAACGCCGCGUGAGUGAUGAAGGUUUUCGGAUCGUAAAGCUCUGUUGUUAGGGAAGAACAAGUACCGUUCGAAUAGGGCGGUACCUUGACGGUACCUAACCAGAAAGCCACGGCUAACUACGUGCCAGCAGCCGCGGUAAUACGUAGGUGGCAAGCGUUGUCCGGAAUUAUUGGGCGUAAAGGGCUCGCAGGCGGUUUCUUAAGUCUGAUGUGAAAGCCCCCGGCUCAACCGGGGAGGGUCAUUGGAAACUGGGGAACUUGAGUGCAGAAGAGGAGAGUGGAAUUCCACGUGUAGCGGUGAAAUGCGUAGAGAUGUGGAGGAACACCAGUGGCGAAGGCGACUCUCUGGUCUGUAACUGACGCUGAGGAGCGAAAGCGUGGGGAGCGAACAGGAUUAGAUACCCUGGUAGUCCACGCCGUAAACGAUGAGUGCUAAGUGUUAGGGGGUUUCCGCCCCUUAGUGCUGCAGCUAACGCAUUAAGCACUCCGCCUGGGGAGUACGGUCGCAAGACUGAAACUCAAAGGAAUUUGACGGGGCCCGCACAAGCCGGUGGAGCAUGUGGUUUAAUUCGAAGCAACGCGAAGAACCUUACCAGGUCUUGACAUCCUCUGACAAUCCUAGAGAUAGGACGUCCCCUUCGGGGGCAGAGUGACAGGUGGUGCAUGGUUGUCGUCAGCUCGUGUCGUGAGAUGUUGGGUUAAGUCCCGCAACGAGCGCAACCCUUGAUCUUAGUUGCCAGCAUUCAGUUGGGCACUCUAAGGUGACUGCCGGUGACAAACCGGAGGAAGGUGGGGAUGACGUCAAAUCAUCAUGCCCCUUAUGACCUGGGCUACACACGUGCUACAAUGGACAGAACAAAGGGCAGCGAAACCGCGAGGUUAAGCCAAUCCCACAAAUCUGUUCUCAGUUCGGAUCGCAGUCUGCAACUCGACUGCGUGAAGCUGGAAUCGCUAGUAAUCGCGGAUCAGCAUGCCGCGGUGAAUACGUUCCCGGGCCUUGUACACACCGCCCGUCACACCACGAGAGUUUGUAACACCCGAAGUCGGUGAGGUAACCUUUAGGAGCCAGCCGCCGAAGG